rnacentral:rRNA from 1 species
UGGGGAAUUGUUCACAAUGGGCGCAAGCCUGAUGACGCAACGCCGCGUGGAGGAUGAAGGUCUUCGGAUUGUAAACUCCUGUUGCCCGGGACGAAUAGCUCCGACCUAACACGUCGGAGUCUGACGGUACCGGUUGAGGAAGCCCCGGCUAACUCUGUUCCAGCAGCCGCGGUAAUACAGAGGGGGCAAGCGUUGUUCGGAAUUACUGGGCGUAAAGGGCGCGUAGGCGGCCUUCUAAGUCGAACGUGAAAUCCCUGGGCUCAACCCAGGAACUGCGUCCGAUACUGGAAGGCUUGAAUCCGGGAGAGGGAUGCGGAAUUCCAGGUGUAGCGGUGAAAUGCGUAGAUAUCUGGAGGAACACCGGUGGCGAAGGCGGCAUCCUGGACCGGUAUUGACGCUGAGGCGCGAAAGCCAGGGGAGCAA